rnacentral:misc_RNA from 1 species
AACUAACGUGGCAACAGGUGCCCUCUCUAACCGUCCUCCCCCCUCCCCUCUUCGCCCCUUCCCACAAAUAGGGCAGAAAAAUUUUCCUUUCGGUCCACCUUCACCUUUGCUGCCUCUCUACUCGUCGCGUAGGCUGUGGCAGAGCGGGCGCCUUCGCGUGCGUGUGUGCACCAUUCUCACUCACCACGCGCUGUCGUUGGCAUACGGCGCAUCUCCAGUAUUGUAGCACACCCUUCGUGAAGUCACUGUUCGUUAGAGAAGUCUUUUGUCGUUGUUAGGUUGUGGUGUUCUUUGUGUUACUAGGCGUCUUUCCACGCCUCACUCUCACCCCAGCCGUCCGGUACCCAUCCAUUACUUGUUUUCUGCGCCCCCUCUCCUCGCCUUCUCCCCGCAGAGUGUAGUAGCGUCGGCGAGAGAAACCGACCUGUCCGCGGUUUUCGUCAUUCACGUCAUAAACCGCGCGUCGACGAAGACGAGCUUGCUGACAGAUACUAGACUAGCCUUCACUCGGGCAACUUGAUUUCCGCUCACCAUCACCAUCGAAUACGAGGUGGCAAGCACACAACUACGCACACACACACACACACACACACACGUAAACAAAGAAUAAACUACAAUGGCAGAGGACAAGAAGCCGCGCUUUCUGCAGCAGACAACUUCGCAGCUGUUGCACCAGCAGGAAGCGCUGCGCAAGCGACGAGAGAUGCUGGAGCGCGAGAGCACAAAGCCGCCGGCCAUGCGGUUUGGCACGAACACGCCGCCACGCAACGCAGGACGCCACGGGCGGUCGCCUGCACCGCCGUCGUCGGCGUGUGAGCGCCACGCGUCGCAUUCGGCGCCGCCGCCGCCACUGCCAGGCAGUGGCGUUCAUCGCGAGCUGAACUGGAGCCGUUCCGAGGACGAAAAGGCAGCGGAGCGCGCGCCGAUGCGCUUUUACACGCUGUUUCGUCCGUCACCGGCCCCGGCGGUGCUGCCGCGCCCGCGCUCCACCACCAGCGUCCACACGCCGCCUUCGCCACGUCCGCGCGAGGUGAACACAUCAGAUCAAGUGGAUGCAAUGAUAACCAAGCUUCACAAGGAGCCCUCCUCACCGCGUACAGUGUCGCCGCACUCGCCAGUAUCGCAGCGGAGCCGUGUGGAGCACGACUGUGCGUCGAGCAAGAACGCCGCUGCGCACCUAUUGGCGCCCAACGCUUCGAGGGCUGCGCAGGUCACUGCCGCUGAGACAACCCAAACUAAGGCUUCUCAAACGCCAACGCACGGCGCAACGCCGGCACACGCAGCGGUGGAGCGACACGCCAGCACGCCGAAACCCCCCUCUCAGGAGGCUCUCGCAGAUGAGCAGGACGAGGCGACCGGUAUGGCAGCCUUCUCCAACACGUUCCCUGUACCCCGCUUCACCCCUAUUUCACCUUCCGUUGCUUCCGCUACCAAGAGAGCUCAGCAAACGUGCGAGGGGGAGCAGAGCACACCCACGCGUCUCGCCGCCGGGGAGUUCCGCACACCGCGUCCGUUGGCGGGGCUCUCCAAUGCCGCCACACCCGCCGUCGGCUGCCCUGCAUCCGCGCCAGGAGAAGGCGUUGCCCAGCAAGCACCUUUAGCGCUGGAUGACGAGGCAGAAACGAGGCCCACACCCUCCCCAAUCCCAUCGCCGCUCCCACAAGCACGUGCCAGCGCAGACGGCUGUGCUGACGUGCAGGAAGGCGCGCGGCCCACUCCCCAUUGCGAUGAAAGGCACACGAGCACACAGCAUCACGACGCCGAGAUAGCCGCUCCGCGGGAGGCGACUUGUUUCUCUCACACCGCUGGCGACGCAUCGCCGCACCGUCCGACCUCCUCGCCGCCGCGCCGCAACAAAGCGAGCCCGAUACCAACCACGCAGGACCUCAUUCACAGCGUGCAGGUCUCGGCGGAGAAACGCCCGUGCGGCUGCGAACGAGCUACGCCGUCGCCGGAGAACUGGCCCCCCCGCCGUGCCACCGCCACGCCGUCGCGCACGGGCUCGCCGCCGCCGACGCCGGUGCCCACCUCUGGCGAGCCCAUGACAGACUUUGGAGCGCUCACGCAGAAGUGCUGCGACCGCCCGACGCCUGCGUCGCUCUCCUCGCAGCCUGCUGGCGGGGAGGUACGCAACAUCAUCUCUGGCGCCUCCUCUGCUUCCCCGUGGCCCACCACAGAAAACAUUAUCAACAGCAUUAUGGCAGGCUGCGGCGAAGGGCAGCGGCGCCGCAGAGAGGACUGCGCUGCAGCAGCAGCAGCAGCAGCGCACAAACUGCCACGGGAAGACGACAGUGGUGCCUCGGUGCGGUUCUCGUGCGAGGAAGCGAAUGUGUCGCACGCGAACUCGCACACCGUGGCUGUGCCAGAGAUGUUCGGCAUGAAUGCCGACACCGGGGAUGAGGCGCGCAUCAGAGGCGACGCCUUCUGCGCCGCAAUGGAGGCCCACGCUGCCGCGCACACGCCGUCGCCCGUCCCCUCGGACCGGCAGUACGGUCAGAGCAUACUCGCCUCCACCGAGAAGCGGCGUUGCGGACGCCCCACCCCGCCGGAGCGCCAUGUCUCCGUCGCAGCAGCUGAGGACUCUAACGGACAUGCGGGUCGCACCACAAGCGCGUCUCCGCAGCCGUGUGCCAACCACCUCCUCGACAGCCUAGAGGUAUCGAUCGACAAAGGCGGUCAGCGCUGCAAGCCGGCGGAGCGGCCCUCGGAGGCGGAGGGGAGUGGCACCGGCGAUGAAACGGCUGGAGAUGCCGCGGGACGCCUCGCAGGUCUUCGCACUCCCUCACCAACACCCACGCCGGAGCACGUCAUCGCUAGCCUGCAGGCCUCCGCGGAAAAACGGACGCGCUCUGGCGCCGUCGAUACUACCAGUGGGCCCAAGGGCUCCUCCGCCGAGGCAGCGACAAGCCCCAGCUGCAGCUCCUACCAGUCACCAACGCUGACGCCGCAAAAUGUGAAGGACAGCAUGCAGAAGCUCAUGAGAGAACAGCAGCAGGCGGCCCGCUCCGACGCUCCGGCUCCGCUUCGGCCAUGGGCAGAGACGCCGAAGGGAAUCGCAAACGCCGCGAGCGGCGCGGACCCGUGGAACUCGUCGGCGUCACCGGUUGUGACAGCGGAGAAUGUGGACAUCACGCUGGACACCCUCGAGCGCGACCAGCGAUACCAUUCCCGAUCCUCGCGCGCGCCGCAGGUGGCUGACAUCUCGCCAGAGGAGCCGAACGCCACACUGCUAUGCGACAGCGCCGUCUCUCCUGUGAAGGUGGCAGAGGCAGCCGCCCCGGAGGACAUGAGCGAGAUCCCUGCGCCCUCUCCCGAAGUGACUGCCCUGACCUCUGUGGUAUCGCCGGUGUCUUCAGAGUUCGCCGUGGCGUCGGCGAUGUUUUUUGAUUGCGUGAGCGCCCCUCCGACGCCGGCUUUGGAGAAUGUAGAGGCAGCGAAGAGGGAUAUCGGGAGCUCUGAGUCGACCAUCCGCGUGCGCGCACUCGCGCACGUGCCCCCACAGUUCUACGAUCUGCAGCGCGAGGUGGCCGCCAUCUCGGAGGGGCGCUGUCGCACUCGCACGCCGCCGCCGGUGCAAGUGUGUGAGCAACGAUCCCCGCUACCGGUAUCAGCGACGCCGCUGGCGAAGGGGGGCACCCCGCGCGCUGAGGCGUCGAUGGAGCAGGCAGAGGUCGCUGUCAGCGCACCACCGCAUCACCCGCCCAACGCGAUAACCAGCUGCGCCACUGCAGCGGACAAAGACGCCGAAGAGGAGGCGAUGGCGCGUCGCAGCAGUCUCAUCUUGGUGCAUCCGACCACAACCCCUCAGACACUCCUUCAGCACCCGCACAAGCCGAUGCCCGCUGCCGCUCCCCCCAGCAUUAGCCCGGUGCAGGUGCCCCGCGCGCCGACGCCGCAGCUGCGGCGCCCCUUGCAGCAGGAUCUGUUUCUCACCGGCGAGCACUGCCAGUCACCGCUGCCACGUCCUGUCUCGCUGCGGUCGCAGGUGUCGAUGGUGAAGCCGGUGCAGCUGUCGCACAGUCACCGGCACUCGCGCAGUCCGGCACCGGCGUGGGGCGCAUCGAGCGCCUUUCCUGCACAAAAUGACGGCAUGCGCGCACCGCUGCUUCCGACGGGCGUGCGACCGCCGGCGCACUGCGCCGCAGCUGUGCAGCGCGACAAGGACGCGGAUCAGAAAACUGGUUUGUUUGAUCCCAAGAACGAUUGGAUGGACCUUGUCGAGCCGCUGCGGCCACACACGAUUACAGUGUCCCCGCAAGGCGGCAGUGUUGUGUACACGGAACACUCCUCGAUAGAUCUACCUAGAAACGGCGAGGGGCCUGCGGGUCAUGUAUCUCCGUCGUCCUCUCGCAAACGUAGCCGCAGCGCGCAGACUCCACUCGCUGCAAGCCAGCAGAUGGCUGCGACGACGCCGGCAAGCAUCACCCUUACCAUGGAUGACGGCGUUUUGUCAGGCAGGAGGUCUUUGCAUGUGGCUUCAACGCCCUACUCGCACGUGUCGCAGACCCCUCGCAGCUCGACGCGCGGGCGUAAAAGCCAAGCGGAGGAGCUGCUGGAGAUGCUACCUGCCGAGGUGGUGGCGGAAGUAGCCCGUAUAGAAACUGCAGAGGAAGUUGCGGCAGCAGCCAAUGCAGCAGCGGCGGCGUCAGCCGAGUCGCAUGGUCUGCGGCCAUCGCUUGGCUCAUCGGACGGGCGGUUCAGUGGCGUCUCCGACAGGGACUCGACGCUCGGGAUACUGUCGACCAUUUCUCAGCGUGUCUCUCAACGACCGCGGCGUGUCUAUCACAGCGAAGACUACUACAUUCAGUACCUCGAGGGCAUCGCCACCUCCAGUGCCAACAAGGCGCGCAAAGCUGCCGGUCGCCGCACACAUCGAGCUGUCAUGAAGGACGUCGCCAGCGCCACAGUGAAGACUAUCGUGCAGCGCGCUGUCGCGGAAGAGUCGCCGGCAUCGGCAAGGGUGUCCCACGCAGAAGCUGCCGUGCUGCGCGGCAGCCGCAGCCUGUCGGCGUCACCGCGUGGCGAUGGAAGCGGUGCUGCGCGCGCGAAGGCGUCGCCGAUGCAUGCGUCGGAGGAGGUGACCGUGUCGCCGCAGACGCCGUCCCCCACCCGUGUCGGCGGCCGCGGGCAGCUGAAGGUUGCUACGCGUCUGUCUGCCGAGCUCCAAAAGGCGUUGUUCCAGCAACCUUCUCCGGCGAAGCCGAAGCGGCUGCGCGGUCCUCGCGGGGCCUCUCCGAAAGCCUCUACCAAGUCGGCGAAGACGGCAAAGAAGUCGCCGGCCCCCUCCCCAAAGAGCGGCCCCUCCGCCUCACCCACCGCCAAAGCGAAAACGGCAAAGGCGCCUACGUCGUCCACUCGUGGCAAAAAGUCCGUGAAGAAGUUUGUGACAGCCAAGUCGAUGCGGCGGCCGCGUCGCGGUGCGAAGCAGGGCAAAGCGUAGCGGUCUGCGGAUGCGCACGACAGCCAAGUGUAGCGGGUCCCACGUCGGGGCUUGAACGUGUGGAUGGGAAUAGGUUCUGUGCCGGGCGCACCUCAGAAGAUGACGUCGACGUGGCGUCGCCACCCUUUUCCCUCUGGUUGCAGUUCCUUCACGUUGGAGUAGUGCGUGCUGCUGCUGCUGCCGCCGCCGCUCAAGUGCAUCCGCAUCGCACCAGAUUGCCAUGCCCGAGCUGUCUGUGAUUCUUUAUCGGUGUUGCGUAUGAGGGCCAUGCAAGGGAGGGGAAUGUCGUGCGUCUCUGUCCCCGGCGGCGCAUGAAGUGUUACUUUAUCUCUCGCUCUUCGUCGUUGCGCUCUCCGCUAAUGCUGCGGUUUAUCGGAGAUGUCCUGCCGAGGAUCGUGUGCCCGUGUCCCUGCUGGGACGAACUCUCGUUCUCCCUCUCUGUGCUCUGUCUCUCCACUCCCAUUAGAUCUUUUCCUCCUCUUCCCUCUCUCCCCCCGCGCGCAUGUGCACAUGCGUACACAGAGGGGAGGCCGGAGUACAACACAAAUAGCCGGCAUGCCGACAUGACUGUUGUUGUUGUGUGCGUGUGUCUUGUUCGUUUCGUCCUUUUCUUCGUUCCCGGCCACCGCCUCUCGUAGAGUAAAAACACAGGCGGCUCCCGUGUACAACAGCAAGGCAACGAGUGGCACAGCGCUGUUUUGAAUGCUUCUUAG